rnacentral:rRNA from 1 species
AGCGAACGCUGGCGGCAGGCCUAACACAUGCAAGUCGAACGGAUCCUUCGGGAUUAGUGGCGGACGGGUGAGUAACACGUGGGAACGUGCCUUUUGGUUCGGAACAACUCAGGGAAACUUACGCUAAUACCGCAUAAUAUCUACGGAUCAAAGAUUUAUCGCCAAGAGAUCAGCCCGCGCUAGAUUAGGUAGUUGGUGAG